rnacentral:rRNA from 1 species
UACGUAGGGGGCAAGCGUUGUCCGGAAUCAUUGGGCGGAAAGCGCGUGUAGGCGGUUCGGUAAGUCGGCUGUGAAAGUCCAGGGCUCAACCCUGGGAUGCCGGUCGAUACUGCCGGACUAGAGUUCGGAAGAGGCGAGUGGAAUUCCCGGUGUAGCGGUGAAAUGCGCAGAUAUCGGGAGGAACACCAAUGGCGAAGGCAGCUCGCUGGGACGUUACUGACGCUGAGACGCGAAAGCGUGGGGAGCAAACAGG